AUAAUUCCAAAAAAUAUGGGAUAUGAAAAAAAUCGAACAAAAGAGAAAAGAAAAACGCAAAAAUUAAAAUCGAAAUAAAAGGGGAUCACCAAAAUCUUUAACAAAAACAUAUCAAAAAAGAGGAAAACAAAAAGAAUAAGUGACUGUCAUCUCAACAAAAAACUCUCAUUAGUUCUUGAGCCAUCAUGUUUUCACCUUUACAACUUCAAAAUUCUCUCAGAACUUGAAUUCGUGUGUCGAACUAAUUGAAUGCGGGAAUGGAGAUCAUUAGAAGAAUAAUAGGGGGUUGAAAUUAAAAUCUGAGCCUUAUAU
rnacentral:lncRNA from 1 species